GAUCAACGCUGGCGGCGUGCUUAACACAUGCAAGUCGAACGAAGUUUUUCUUUCGGGAGGAACUUAGUGGCGGACGGGUGAGUAACGCGUGGGUAACCUGCCCUGUACAGGGGGACAACAGCUGGAAACGGCUGCUAAUACCGCAUAAGCCCUUAGCACUGCAUGGUGCAUAGGGAAAAGGAGCAAUCCGGUACAGGAUGGACCCGCGUCUGAUUAGCCAGUUGGCAGGGUAACGGCCUACCAAAGCGACGAUCAGUAGCCGAUCUGAGAGGAUGUACGGCCACAUUGGGACUGAGACACGGCCCAGACUCCUACGGGAGGCAGCAGUGGGGAAUAUUGCACAAUGGAGGAAACUCUGAUGCAGCGACGCCGCGUGAGUGAAGAAGUAUUUCGGUAUGUAAAGCUCUAUCAGCAGGAAAGAAAAUGACGGUACCUGACUAAGAAGCACCGGCUAAAUACGU
rnacentral:rRNA from 1 species